UACGUAGGGUGCAAGCGUUGUCCGGAAUCAUUGGGCGUAAAGCGCGUGUAGGCGGUCCGGUAAGUCCGCUGUGAAAGUCGGGGGCUCAACCCUCGAAAGCCGGUGGAUACUGUCGGGCUAGAGUGCGGAAGAGGCGAGUGGAAUUCCUGGUGUAGCGGUGAAAUGCGCAGAUAUCAGGAGGAACACCAAUUGCGAAGGCAGCUCGCUGGGACGUUACUGACGCUGAGACGCGAAAGCGUGGGGAGCAAACAGG
rnacentral:rRNA from 1 species